AGCGAACGUUUGCGGCGGGCCUAACACAUGCAAGUCGAACGCACUAGCAAUAGUGAGUGGCGCACGGGUGCGUAACACGUGGGUAAUCAACCCUUCAGCUUGGGAUAACGACUUGAAAGGGUCGCUAAUACCGGAUACGGCGCGAGAGGCUUCGGCUUCUCACGAGAAAGCCUCGCAAGGGGCACUGAAGGACGAGCCUGCGGCCCAUCAGCUAGUUGGUGAGGUAAGAGCUCACCAAGGCUAAGACGGGUAGCUGGUCUGAGAGGAUGAUCAGCCACACUGGAACUGAGACACGGUCCAGACUCCUACGGGAGGCAGCAGUGGGGAAUAUUGCGCAAUGGGCGGAAGCCUGACGCAGCCACGCCGCGUGAGCGAUGAAGGCCUCGGUCGUAAGACGUCUGUGGGAGGAGACGAAGAAAGACCGUCGAGAGACGGGCCGUUGACGGUAGUCUCCUUACGUCAA
rnacentral:rRNA from 1 species